rnacentral:lncRNA from 1 species
CCUACCUUCUCCCAGUUCUCUACUAUACAUUACCUCUGAAUCCAUCCACCGCUCCUUCCUCUCCCCCAGUAACCAACAUUCAGCUUCAGGGUUUUGAUAUUUUUGGUAGCUAGAUCUUUCUGUACACGCAUGGAGUAAUUCUUGUAGACAAAAAGUUGAGGAUCGCAACUGUGCUUCUAACACCAAAUCUGGGAAGCUACUCUGAACAUGAUCAACAGUAGACAAUCACAAGGCUUCCACUGUGCUUCUAACACCAAAUCUGGGAAGCUUGUCUGCUCAAAUGCUCUUCCCCCAGUGGGGUAUAACACAAGUCCGAAACCUGCAGUGAGAGAUAACUCGGGCUAAAGCUAACAAGCACUUACAAAUUACAAUCAACCAAGGGAUGGAUGUAUUAGUGCUGAUCUCUUAGCUGUUGAUAGUUAAUCCAGUAAUUAUGCCCGACUCUUCAAUCUACCAUGGAUAGUAGAACAAUAUGGACAUUGAAAAAAUUGUGAUUGUUUAAACAUGCCAGACCCUCAUUAAUUGAAGCUUUCCACCUUCAAAGUGGAACAAUAGCAAAUGUAUCAUAGCUAACAAAUACCAAUGUUGAGGACAAGGAAGAAUAGUUUGGUUCUGGGUAGUAGUUUGUUCUAUUCUGUGAAGAGCUAUCAAAUAUCUAAAGAUUCAUUCCUUUCGCAUUAAUCGCAACCUCUAACAAGAUCUUACAUGUAUGACAUAGCUCCUUCCAGUUUCUCUUUCAACGAAUCAUGUUCAAAAUUCAACUUUUGCAAUAGCAGCAAUUAGAUCCAUUUAUUAUGAAUUGCAAAAAGAGAAGUCAAUCAAGAAGACAAGGAAUGCGUCCAGCCUAAUGAGGUAGCAAUUAGCAGCCUCAUACCCAUGCUCAUUAAUGUGCCUAUACAUGACAAAAUUAUGAUGCAGAUGUGGGUCGAUACAUAUUCUUCUUUGCUUUUUUGUUGUUCUCAAGUCUGAAUAAUUGGAGUCAACCCACAGUUGAAUUGAAUCAAGUCUAAACUUAAAUCUGUUUAAUAUCAAACUAGUGGAACAUGCAACAGAACAAGAGCUGCUGACACAUAACAUAAAAGGAUGGAGAGGUUAUCAAACAGUAGCUGUAACCUAACCUUCUUUAAAGCAUACAAUCAC